rnacentral:rRNA from 1 species
GUAGUCAUAUGCUUGUCUCAAAGAUUAAGCCAUGCAUGUCUAAGUAUAAGCAAUUAUACAGCGAAACUGCGAAUGGCUCAUUAAAUCAGUUAUCGUUUAUUUGAUAGUACCUUACUACAUGGAUAACCGUGGUAAUUCUAGAGCUAAUACAUGCUAAAAAUCCCGACUUCGGAAGGGAUGUAUUUAUUAGAUUAAAAACCAAUGCCCUUCGGGGCUCUCUGGUGAUUCAUAAUAACUUCUCGAAUCGCACGGCCUUGCGCCGGCGAUGGUUCACUCAAAUUUCUGCCCUAUCAACUUUCGACGGCUGGGUCUUGGCCAGCCGUGGUGACAACGGGUAACGGAGAGUUAGGGCUCGACCCCGGAGAAGGAGCCUGAGAAACGGCUACUACAUCCAAGGAAGGCAGCAGGCGCGCAAAUUACCCAAUUCCGACACGGGGAGGCAGUGACAAUAAAUACUGAUACAGGGCUCUUUCGGGUCUUGUAAUUGGAAUGAGUACAAUUUAAAUCCCUUAACGAGGAACAAUUGGAGGGCAAGUCUGGUGCCAGCAGCC